rnacentral:rRNA from 1 species
UAAUACGUAGGGGGCGAGCGUUGUCCGGAAUGAUUGGGCGUAAAGGGCGUGUAGGCGGUCCAUUAAGUCUGGAGUGAAAGUCCCGUUUUCAAGAUGGGAAUUGCUUUGGAUACUGGAGGACUUGAGUGCAGGAGAGGUUAUCGGAAUUCCCGGUGUAGCGGUGAAAUGCGUAGAGAUCGGGAGGAACACCAGUGGCGAAGGCGGGUAACUGGACUGCAACUGACGCUGAGGCGCGAAAGUGUGGGGAGCAAACAGGAUUAGAUACCCUGGUAGUCCACACUGUAAACGAUGAAUGCUAGGUGUAGGGGGUAUCGACCCCUUCUGUGCCGCAGUCAACACAAUAAGCAUUCCGCCUGGGGAGUACGGCCGCAAGGUUGAAACUCAAAGGAAUUGACGGGGGCCCGCACAAGCAGCGGAGCAUGUGGUUUAAUUCGACGCAACGCGAAGAACCUUACCAGGUCUUGACAUCCAGGUAAAGCACCAGAGAUGGUGUGUGUGCUUGCACAAUCUGAGACAGGUGGUGCAUGGUUGUCGUCAGCUCGUGUCGUGAGAUGUUGGGUUAAGUCCCGCAACGAGCGCAACC